CCCUUAGAUGUUCUGGGCCGCACGCGCGCUACACUGAUGCAUGCAACGAGUUCUAUCCUUGGCCGGAAGGCCUGGGUAAUCUGUGAACGUGCAUCGUGAUAGGGAUAGAUUAUUGCAAUUAUUAAUCUUGAACGAGGAAUUCCUAGUAAACGCAAGUCAUCAGCUUGCAUUGAUUACGUCCCUGCCCUUUGUACACACCGCCCGUCGCACCUCCCGAUCGAAGGUAAUGAUGAGCCCUCAGGAUUGUGGCCUCGUCGCGUCAGCGUCUUGGCUGCGAGAAUCUGUGCAAAUCCCUACCUUUAGAGGAAGGUGAAGUCGUAACA
rnacentral:rRNA from 1 species